rnacentral:rRNA from 1 species
AUCUACAUGCCUACAAAAUUAAUGCACUUGAUCCCAUUAAAAAUCUGUAAUUGAGCACGCUUGGGCUAGAGUAGUACUAGGAUGGGUGACGGCCCAAGAAUUCCUAGUGUUUUACAUG